rnacentral:pre_miRNA from 1 species
AGUGUGAUUGCUGAAUCAUAUGGUUAGACUAUGUUUAGCUUUUAAGAAACUGCCAAAUUUGUCUUCCAAAGUGGCUGUAUCAUUUUCUAUUCCUACCAGCAGU